CUAUUGUCAUGUGGACUAUGCUAUGAUCGACGACUAAGAAACCAAACCAAUUAAGGGCAGUAAAUUAUGUUCCCACAACUAUCGAAACAAACAAACGGGUAUCAUCUCAAUUCAUGCACAGCCUAAGCUGGGUAUGUCCGAACAGAUCGCUCCCAACCACUAUCAAAAUGCCCAACUCCGCCAUGAUAUAUUAUACAUUUCCAACAUUGAUUCCGUAAGAUUCGCUCAGGUUUGGGG
rnacentral:lncRNA from 1 species